CAGCGCCCGGGAAUACGAAGGUCCCGAGCGUUGUUCGGAAUCACUGGGCGUAAAGGGAGCGUAGGCGGCGUGGUAAGUCAGAUGUGAAAUCCCGGGGCUCAACCCCGGAACUGCAUCCGAUACUGCCAUGCUAGAGGAUUGGAGAGGUAGCUGGAAUUCUUGGUGCAGCAGUGAAAUGCGUGGAGAUCAAGAGGAACACUCGUGGCGAAAGCGAGCUACUGGACAAUAACUGACGCUGAGGCUCGAAGGCCAGGGUAGCGAAAGGGAUUAGAUACCCGCGUAGUCCCUGUCUCUUAUACAC
rnacentral:rRNA from 1 species